UGUAACUCAGUGGUAGAGUGCUUGCUUAGCAUGUGUGAGGCACUGAGUUCAAUUCUCAGCA
rnacentral:tRNA from 1 species